UACGGGGGGGGGCAAGCGUUGUUCGGAAUUACUGGGCGUAAAGGGCUCGUAGGUGGCCAACUAAGUCAGACGUGAAAUCCCUCGGCUUAACCGGGGAACUGCGUCUGAUACUGGAUGGCUUGAGUUUGGGAGAGGGACGCGGAAUUCCAGGUGUAGCGGUGAAAUGCGUAGAUAUCUGGAGGAACACCGGUGGCGAAGGCGGCGUCCUGGACCGGUAUUGACGCUGAGGCGCGAAAGCCAGGGGAGCAAAGCGGG
rnacentral:rRNA from 1 species